rnacentral:lncRNA from 1 species
GGAAAUAUUCUUUAUAAAGCACAAAAAUGUCAGUAUUAACCUCAGAAACUAACACAACCUUUAAAUAGACUUAUUAAGAAGGGAUAUAGUUACGAUACUGUUGUCAGGUCAUUAAAGAUUGCAUAUUUUGGUGUUAAUAUUGAUUCACUUAUAGGGUCUUUGCAUCGGAACUAAACACAUUUAUUCAAAAACCAGUUAUUGGCAUGACACGGGUUAUGUUCUUCUCAUAUAUGUUAUGAUGGUAUGAUACUAAACCCCUAACAGGAAGGAUUGUGCCUGAUAUUCAUAUGAUGAAAUCAUAAUCUUUCAAUCAGUUUAAUUGAAGUCUGGAGCUGGCAUGUCAGUUAACUGCUAGUAGUCUGUUGUUAUUUAUG